rnacentral:rRNA from 1 species
UACGGAGGAUCCGAGCGUUAUCCGGAUUUAUUGGGUUUAAAGGGUGCGCAGGCGGGAGAUUAAGUCGGCGGUGAAAUUUUGCGGCUCAACCGUAAAAGUGCCUUCGAAACUGGUUUCCUUGAGUGUGGAUGAGGUAGGCGGAAUUUGUGGUGUAGCGGUGAAAUGCAUAGAUAUCACGAGGAACUCCGAUUGCGCAGGCAGCUUACCAGGCCAUAACUGACGCUCAAGCACGAAGGCGUGGGGAUCAAACAGGAUUAGAUACCCCUGUAGU